rnacentral:rRNA from 1 species
GAUGAACGCUGGCGGCGUGCCUAAUACAUGCAAGUCGAGCGAACAGAUGAGGAGCUUGCUCCUCUGACGUUAGCGGCGGACGGGUGAGUAACACGUGGAUAACCUACCUAUAAGACUGGGAUAACUUCGGGAAACCGGAGCUAAUACCGGAUAAUAUAUUGAACCGCAUGGUUCAAUAGUGAAAGACGGUUUUGCUGUCACUUAUAGAUGGAUCCGCGCCGCAUUAGCUAGUUGGUAAGGUAACGGCUUACCAAGGCGACGAUGCGUAGCCGACCUGAGAGGGUGAUCGGCCACACUGGAACUGAGACACGGUCCAGACUCCUACGGGAGGCAGCAGGAGGGAAUCUGCCGCAAUGGGCGAAAGCCUGACGGAGCAACGCCGCGUGAGUGAUGAAGGUCUUCGGAUCGUAAAACUCUGUUAUUAGGGAAGAACAAAUGUGUAAGUAACUAUGCACGUCUUGACGGUACCUAAGCAGAAAGCCACGGCUAACUACGU